GCGGGCCACGUGACCUGGCUGGCCUGGACGGGAGGGGUGCGACUCGCUGCCCCUCCUGGGGUACACCCCGGCUGCGGGGUUCUCUAGCCGGGACCACCGGCCGGAAGCCGGGGAGCGGAAACCGGUAAAAGUCGCACAGCGCCUGGCCCUGACAACCAUACGAUGUGGCUGCGUUUCUCUGCUUCCUGGAUCUGGACCACAGGUCCAGGACAGGGUGAGCCCUGCUCAGCCCGAGUGUGUGGGUCCGAAUAGAGAAAAGGAGCACUGAGUCCCCAGGAAAAAGAAAAGUGACUCAGGACUUGCACCGGG